rnacentral:rRNA from 1 species
GACGAACGCUGGCGGCGUGCUUAACACAUGCAAGUCGAACGGAAAGGCCCUGCUUUUGUGGGGUGCUCGAGUGGCGAACGGGUGAGUAACACGUGAGUAACCUGCCCUUGACUUUGGGAUAACUUCAGGAAACUGGGGCUAAUACCGGAUAGGAGCUCCUGCUGCAUGGUGGGGGUUGGAAAGUUUCGGCGGUUGGGGAUGGACUCGCGGCUUAUCAGCUUGUUGGUGGGGUAGUGGCUUACCAAGGCUUUGACGGGUAGCCGGCCUGGGAGGGUGGCCGGGCACAAUGGGACUGAGGUACGGACCAGACUCCUACGGGAGGCAGCAGUGGGGAAUAUUGCAGAAUAGGCGGGAGCCUGAUGCAGCAACCCCGCGUGCGGGAUAACGGCCUUCGGGUUGUAAACCGCUUUCGCCUGUGACGAAGCGUGAGUGACGGUAAUGGGUAAAGAAGCACCGGCUAACUACGUG